rnacentral:rRNA from 1 species
GAUGAACGCUGGCGGCGUGCCUAAUACAUGCAAGUCGAGCGAACAGACGAGGAGCUUGCUCCUCUGAUGUUAGCGGCGGACGGGUGAGUAACACGUGGAUAACCUACCUAUAAGACUGGGAUAACUUCGGGAAACCGGAGCUAAUACCGGAUAAUAUGUUGAACCGCAUGGUUCAACAGUGAAAGACGGUCUUGCUGUCACUUAUAGAUGGAUCCGCGCUGCAUUAGCUAGUUGGUAAGGUAACGGCUUACCAAGGCAACGAUGCGUAGCCGACCUGAGAGGGUGAUCGGCCACACUGGAACUGAGACACGGUCCAGACUCCUACGGGAGGCAGCAGUAGGGAAUCUUCCGCAAUGGGCGAAAGCCUGACGGAGCAACGCCGCGUGAGUGAAGAAGGUCUUCGGAUCGUAAAACUCUGUUAUUAGGGAAGAACAAAUGUGUAAGUAACUAUGCACGUCUUGACGGUACCUAAUCAGAAAGCCACGGCUAACUACGUG